GUGGGAGGGAGAGGGGCCACGGGGCUUCGCUGUUCAGUUUCGGUGUCUUCUCAAGAGAUUGUAUUUAUUACUCGAGGAAAACAACGUUUAUAAAUAUAAAUGUUAAAAAAUAACGAGCAGAAACGCUUAUAUACCAAGUGACUUCCAUUUUGUUAGCGCGCACAAAAAGAGUUGAGAAAACUAUAUGGAAAGUAGCACAGACCAAAAACAGGAAGCAGAGCGGCAUGCUAAUCAGGCAACAAGAUUCCAGGCGAUUUUAAUAAGCGUUUUGUUUUACAGCGCAGCCUGGGUCAACCUCCACCUUCAGCUAUCGCCCCGGCCGUGGGGGGCCUCUCCUGCCAGCCGCCGCCGACCCAGCUGACUCAGGAGGGUAUUCGCGCGCUCACCGAGGACGCCCUCCCCACUCGCCCCUGCGCCUCCUCGUCUGCAAAAGAGGAGCCGAGGAUCCCAGCACUUUGGGAAGCCGAGGCGGGCGGAUCACGAGGUCAGGAGUUCGAGACCAGCCUGGCCAAUAUGGUGAAACCCCGUCUCUACUAAAAAUACAAACAUUAGCCGGGUGUAGUGGCGAGCGUCUGUAAUCCCAGCUACUCAGGAGGCUGAGGCAGGAGAUUCGCUUGAACCGGGGAGGCAGAGGUUGCAGUGAGCCGAGAUCAUGCCAUUGUGCUCCAGCCUGGGCGACAGAGCGAGACUCCAUCAUAAAUAAAUAAACAAACAAACAAAUAAAUAAAUAAAUAAAAAGAGGAGCCGAGGGAGAGCCUGGGACGGAACUGGGGCUCUCCAUGGGCGCUUAGAGGAGCUGAGGAAGGCGGGGGACACCCGCACGCCCCCUCCCUAGCCUCCGCCAGCUCCUUCCCAGAGGGAAGGACCCGCGGCUGCGCGGGCGCCCUGGAACUAGACUGCGCCCUGGACCCCCAGCCCCUCUGCGGUCCUGCGCGGGCGCCGGGGCCGGCAGGGGAGGGGGCUGCAGCGCCUGGACUGGCCAUGGAAUUAUGUUGCAUGAAAAACAAAGAAAGCAGCGCUAUUCGGCCGGUCGGCCGCUCCCUCCCCACCUCCCCCGACCCUGGGCCUUAGAGGAGGGUCACUUCCUCCUCCCCACCGGUCCCUACCGCCAGAAUACCCCAACUCUUCUUUCCUCCGUCCGAAACCUGUGACUUCAAGGAAACAAUUAGCUUCUCCGGCAGCCAAUGAGCGCCCAGCCAAUUCCCCAUUUUUCCAAUGCACAAACGUUUUGGGGGGUUGGAGACGCCCAGGACCCCAGAAACAGGACAAUCGCAGUUUCGGACUGGAGCGGCGAGGGGGGAGAGACGGGUGGGUCUUAGACAAGGAAGAAGCCUCACUGCAAGCACAGCGGAGGAAGGCAUUAUGUCUAUUUGGGGUAAUGGGGGGACGCAAGUGACCUCCGAGUGGACCUUGAAGGCUGAGUGGGAAUCUUCCAGAAGGGAAAGGAGACAGCCAUUGGGUUAUAUUUCAGGAUCAAGGUCAGCGUGGGAGGUCCGGGCACCCACACCCACCUCCCAGGCAGACUGAAAGUGCUGUACUGUGCGCAUCUGUCCUAUCAUGAAUGGACGCAUCCAAUGUGGUCUGUCCGGACAAACAGAGUACUAUUCAGCUAUACAAAGGAGUGAAACACCGACCCAGGCUACAACAUUGGUGAACCCUGAAGACAUGAUACUCAGUGAAAAAAGGCAGUCACCAACGACCACAUGUUGUAGGAUCCCAUUCCUAUGAAAUGUGCAAAAUAGGCAAAUCCAUAUGUGAAUUUGACAAAAAGUGGACUGGUGGCUGCCCCGGGUGGGGAACAUGGGGAGAAAGGCUGCUAAUGGGUUGAGUGUUUUGUUUAGGGGAAAAUGUUUAGGAAAUUAGAUUGUGGUGGUGGUUGCACAACCCUGUGUAUAUACCAAAAUCGAUUGAAUUGUACACUUGAAAACAGUGAACUUUAUGGUAUGUGAGUCAAAUCUCAGUAGAUUAAAAAAAAGAGAGCUUAGCAGGGCCAGGCGCAGUGGCUCACACCUGCAAUCCCAGCACUUUGGGAGGCCGAGGC
rnacentral:lncRNA from 1 species